CUUGUUCCUGAUUUUAGGGGAAACACGUUGAGUUUCUCUCCAUUUAGUUUGAUGUUGGCUGUUGGUUUGCUGUAUAUUGCUUUUAUUAUGUUUAGAUAUGUUCCUGUUAUCCCUGAUCUCUCCAAGACCUUUAUCAUGAAGGGUGUUGGAUUUUGUCAAAGGCUUUUUCAGCAUCUAGUGAGAUGAUCAUGUGUUUUUUCUUUCUCAGUCUGCUUAUGUGGUGGAUUACAUUGAUGGAUUUUCAUAUGUUGAACCAUCCUUUUAUCCCUGGGAUGAAGCCUACUUGAUCAUGGUGGAUGAUUUCUCUGAUGUGUUUUUGGAUUCAAUUUGCCAGUAUUUUGUUGAGUAUUUUUGCAUCUGAUGUCUCUCCUCUUCCCCAUGGAUGGAGGCAGGACUGGCACCGGGGACCUGGAAGUCUCUGGAUGUGUUGGAUCCUGCCAAACUGGGAUCUGCCAUGAGCAAGGCCCCUUCCCCCCAGCAGGGCAGAAGAGAAAGGGGAUAUUCUGGUUUUUAAUCAUGUGAUAAAUAGGUUUCUUUUUAAAUCCAAAGUCCAUUUUUAUCAUCUUUGUAAAAAAAAGUCAAAUGCUAUUACUUUGUGAAUGUAAGUCUUGGUCCUCUCUUCUGUUUCACUGACAGUGUGUCUGCUUUUUGUUACUGUGGCUCUGGAGUAUAUCUCGAAAUCAGAUGGGUGCCUAGCCCAGCUGUCAUCUGAAAGGCUUCAUCCACAGCUGAUGGGAGCAGAUGCAGAGACCCACAGCCAAAGAUUAGACGGAGCUUGGAGAACUCCACAGAAGAGGACGAGGAAGGAUUGUAGGAGCCAGUGGAGUCAACAACAGGAGAACACGGCCCACAGAGUCAACUAAGCAGGGCCCAUGGGGGCUCACAGAGGCUGAAGCAGCAAUCACAGAGCCUGUAUAGGUCUUCCCCAGGCCCUCGGCAUAUAUGUUAUGGUUGUAUUGUAGCUUGGUGUUUUUGUGGGACUCCUUAGAGUGGGAGUUGGGGUAUCUCUGAUGCUUUUGUCUGUGCUUGGGACCCUUUUCCUCUUCCUGGGUUGCCUUGUGCCUAGUCUUACUGCAUCUUGUUAUGCCAUGUGGGUUGAUUUCCCUGGAAGGCCUGCUUUUUUUCUGAAGGGAAACGGAGGAGCAGUGACUCUGGGG
rnacentral:lncRNA from 1 species